rnacentral:rRNA from 1 species
GACAGAGGUGCCGAGCGUUAGGCGGAAUCACUGGGCUUAAAGCGUGUGUAGGCGGAUCGUUAAGUGCCUUGUGAAAUCCCACGGCUCACCCGUGGAACUGCUGGGCAUACUGGCGGUCUUGAGCCACCUAGGGGCAACCGGAACAAACGGUGGAGCGGUGAAAUGCGUAGAUAUCGUUUGGAACGCCAAUGGUGAAAACAGGUUGCUGGGGGUGUGCUGACGCUGAGACACGAAGCCAGGGGAGCGAAACGGG